CAUCUCUGCCCCUUCUGUUGAUAUCCCCAUGUUUGUGAUGGGUGUAAACAAUGAGAAGUGCGAAAACAGCCUCAGUAUUAUCAGCAAUGCCUCCUGCACCACCAACUGCUUAGCCCCCUUGGCUAAGGUCAUCUAUGACAACUUCGGCAUUGUGGAGGGACCCAUGACCACAGUCCAUGCCAUCACUGCCACCCAGAAGACUGUGGAUGGCCCCUCUGGGAAGUUGUGGCGUGAUUGUUAUGGUGCUCUCCAGAACAUCAUCCCUGCCUCAACUGGUGCAGCCAAGGUUGUGGGCAAGGUCAUCCAUGACAACUUCAGCAGUGUGGAGGGACUCAUGACCACAGUCCAUGCCAUCACUGCCACCCAGAAGACUGUGGAUGGCCCCUCUGGGAUGAUGUGGCGUGAUAGCCAAGGGGCUCUCCAGAAUAUCAUCCCUGUCUCAACUGGUGCAGCAAAGGCUAUGAGCAAGGUCAGCCCUGAGGUGGAUGGGAAGCUCACUGGCAUGGCCUUCCAUGUCCCCACUGCCAACAUGUUAGUCGUGGAUCUCACCUGCCAUCUGGAGAAGGCUACCAAAUACGAUGAUAUCAAAAAAGUGGUGACUCAGGCAUUGGAGGGCCCCUUAAGGGCAUCCUGGGUUACACCGAGCACCAGGUCAUCUCCUCUGACUUCAACAGUGACACCCAUUCUUCCACCUUUGAUGCUGGGGCUGGCAUUGCUCUCAACGACCACUUUGUCAAACUCAUUGCCUGGUAUGACAAUGAAUUUGGCUACAGCAACAGGGUGGUGGAUCUUAUGGCCCACAUGACCUCCAAGGAGUAAGAGCUCCUGGACCACCAGCCCCAGCCAGAGCACGAGAGAAAGAGAGAGGCCCUCAGCUGCUGGGGUGCCCCUGCCUACUCAGUCCCCCACCUUACUGAGAGUCUCCCCUCUAUACAGUUUCCACACCAGACCCCCUCAAGAACAGGAGGGGACUGGGGAGUCCCAGCUUGUCAUGUACCAUCAAUAAAGUUCUCUGUACUCAGCCAAAAAAAAAAAAAA